CAGAGCUAGAGGAGAGGCAGAGCGGAAGCAGCUGGAUGACAAAUCAUGAGAAGGGAAUCAUGAACACUGUGACUGUACCUUUGUGUUGAGCAAGCAUUUAUUUGGACUUGGGAGCAUCAAAGUGUACAUUGAAGACAGAAUACCCCCAGUGCUUCUUUCUUCAAAAAGAAAUGAUAUACUCAUAGAUGUGGAAUUCCUGGAGAAAAAUGGUAUGAACCAGUUUAAGGUUUCUCCUCCCCCAUCACAUAAAUAUUGCCCAAUGUUUGUAUGAUAUGUAGUAAAAACAUUCUUUUCUGA